rnacentral:tRNA from 1 species
UUAAUUGAAACCAAAAAGAGGUACAUCACUGUUAAUGAUGCCAUUGAAAUAAAUUUCCAAUUAAA